GGAUUAGAUACCCUGGUAGUCCACGCCGUAAACGAUGAUAACUAGUUGUUCGGUCACUUGGUGACUGAGUGACGCAGCUAACGCAUUAAGUUAUCCGCCUGGGGAGUACGGUCGCAAGAUUAAAACUCAAAGGAAUUGACGGGGGCCUGCACAAGCGGUGGAGCAUGUGGUUUAAUUCGAAGCAACGCGCAGAACCUUACCAGCGUUUGACAUCCCGCGCUACUUCCAGAGAUGGAAGGUUCCCUUCGGGGACGCGGUGACAGGUGCUGCAUGGCUGUCGUCAGCUCGUGCCG
rnacentral:rRNA from 1 species